rnacentral:rRNA from 1 species
AUACGUAGGUGGCAAGCGUUGUCCGGAUUUACUGGGUGUAAAGGGCGCGUAGGCGGGAUAGCAAGUCAGGAGUGAAAUCUAGGGGCUCAACCCCUAAACUGCUUUUGAAACUGUUAUUCUUGAGUGAUGGAGAGGCAGGCGGAAUUCCUAGUGUAGCGGUGAAAUGCGUAGAUAUUAGGAGGAACACCAGUGGCGAAGGCGGCCUGCUGGACAUUAACUGACGCUGAGGCGCGAAAGCGUGGGGAGC